UACGUAGGGUGCAAGCGUUGUCCGGAAUUAUUGGGCGUAAAGAGCUCGUAGGCGGUCUGUCGCGUCGGAUGUGAAAACCCAGGGCUCAACCCUGGGCCUGCAUUCGAUACGGGCAGACUAGAGUUCGGUAGGGGAGACUGGAAUUCCUGGUGAAGCGGUGAAAUGCGCAGAUAUCAGGAGGAACACCGGUGGCGAAGGCGGGUCUCUGGGCCGAAACUGACGCUGAGGAGCGAAAGCGUGGGGAGCAAACAGG
rnacentral:rRNA from 1 species